UACGUUCCGGGCCUUGUACACACCGCCCGUCACACCACGAAAGUCGGCAAUACCCGAAGCCGGUGGCCUAACCCGUAAGGGAGGGAGCCGUCGAAGGUAGGGUUGAUGAUUGGGGUG
rnacentral:rRNA from 1 species